AGCUCCACACCUAGUACAAACAUUCCAUGACGCAAUUGAUCACAUAUCCCUACCCAAAGACGUACUAUUGGCGCACAUUGUUACACUGCCAAACCAGGCAAAUCACCCACACUCCCCCAAAAUUUCAGACCUAUAUCACUAUUGAACACAGACGCCAAAAUCUUCGCAAAACUGCAUGCAACCCGAUUAAGCAACAUUCUUCCCCACAUUAUUCACAACGACCAUGUGGGAAUCGUGGUGGGCAGACAGGGAUCGGAAAAUACAAGAAAAGUACUAAACAUAAUGCAUGGCUAUAAGACGCCACGGAAAGGUGGGUUAUUAGACGCCGAAAAAGCCUUCGAUCGCCUACAUUGGGGCUUUCUAGAAGCAGUAUUGCUCAAAUUUGGAAUACCUGAGGGGUUUCUGUCGGUGGUGAGGGCCCUCUACAGCCAUCCUACCGCACACGUGCUCAAUGCGGGUUCCUGUCUGACACCUUCUUGAUCACAAACGGGUAGUGAUGUCCCGAACGGUUCGCUGGCGAAUAGUUCCCG